ACGGAGGGUGCAAGCGUUGUCCGGAUUUAUUGGGUUUAAAGGGUGCGUAGGUGGCCUUGUAAGUCCGUGGUGAAAGCCUCUCGCUUAACGAGAGAACUGCCAUGGAUACUGCAAGGCUUGAGUCCAGACGAGGUUGGCGGAAUGGAUGGUGUAGCGGUGAAAUGCAUAGAUACCAUCCAGAACCCCGAUUGCGUAGGCAGCUGACUAGGCUGGUACUGACACUGAGGCACGAAAGCGUGGGGAGCGAACAGGA
rnacentral:rRNA from 1 species